GACGAACGCUGGCGGCGGGCUUAACACAUGCAAGUCGAACGGAAAGGCCCUGCUUUUGUUGGGUGCUCGAGUGGCGAACGGGUGAGUAACACGUGAGUAACCUGCCCUUGACUUUGGGAUAACUUCAGGAAACUGGGGCUAAUACCGGAUAGGAGCGCCUGCUGCAUGGGGGGGGUUGGAAAGUUUCGGCGGUUGGGGAUGGACUCGCGGCUUAUCAGCUUGUUGGUGGGGUAGUGGCUUACCAAGGCUUUGACGGGUAGCCGGCCUGAGAGGGUGACCGGCCACAUUGGGACUGAGAUACGGCCCAGACUCCUACGGGAGGCAGCAGUGGGGAAUAUUGCCCAAUGGGCGGAAGCCUGAUGCAGCAACGCCGCGUGCGGGAUGACGGCCUUCGGGUUGUAAACCGCUUUCGCCUGUGACGAAGCGUGAGUGACGGUAAUGGGUAAAGAAGCACCGGCUAACUACGUG
rnacentral:rRNA from 1 species